rnacentral:rRNA from 1 species
GAUGGUGACAGCGGAGGGUCAUUACCGAGUUCUUUACGCUCGAAACCCUUUGUGAACCUAUAAACCCGUUGCUUCGGCGGCGCCGAGCUCCCGCGAGGGAGGGAGGCGCCCGCCGGUGUAUUCAGAAUCUCUGUUCGAACCCGACGUUACCUCUGAGUGUUCUAAGCGAACUGUUAAAACUUUCAGCAACGGAUCUCUUGGCUCUAGCAUCGAUGAAGAACGCAGCGAAACGCGAUAAGUAGUGUGAAUUGCAGAAUUCAGUGAAUCAUCGAAUCUUUGAACGCACAUGGCGCCCCCCGGUAUCCCGGGGGGCAUGCCUGUCCGAGCGUCGUUUCAACCCUCGGGCCCGUAGUGGCCCGGCGUUGGGGACCUACGCGCCGACGUAGGCCCCGAAAAGCAGUGGCGGACCCGCGCCGGCCCCCCCUUUGCGUAGUAGCAUCAGCCUCGCAUCGGGAGCCCGCGGGACCUCCGGCCUCUAAACCCCCCACAAAGCCCGCUCCGGCGGCACCAAGGUUGACCUCGGAUCAGGUAGGAAUACCCGCUGAACUUAAGCAUAUCAAUAAGCGGAGGAAAAGAAACCAACAGGGAUUGCCUCAGUAACGGCGAGUGAAGCGGCAACAGCUCAAAUUUGAAAUCUGGCUCCCUUGGGGGUCCGAGUUGUAAUUUGCAGAGGAUGCCUCGGGUGCGGGUUCCUUCCGAGUUCCCUGGAACGGGACGCCAUAGAGGGUGAGAGCCCCGUCUGGUCGGAAACCCAGCCCGUGUGAGGCUCCCUCGACGAGUCGAGUAGUUUGGGAAUGCUGCUCUAAGGGGAGGUAUACUCCUUCCAAGGCUAAAUACCGGCUAGAGACCGAUAGCGCACAAGUAGAGUGAUCGAAAGAUGAAAAGCACUUUGAAAAGAGAGUCAAAUAGCACGUGAAAUUGCUGAAAGGGAAGCGCUUAUUACCAGACUUGGGUUCGGCGGUUCAACCGGCGCCACGCGCCGGGGCACUCCGCCGGCCCAGGCCAGCAUCAGCUCUCCGUCGGGGGCAAAGGCGUCGGGAAUGUAGCUCCCCCUCGGGGGAGUGUUAUAGCCCGGCGUGUCAUACCCUUCGGGGGGCUGAGGUCCGCGCUCCGCAAGGAGCG